rnacentral:misc_RNA from 1 species
UUAAAAAAAAAAAAAAAAGAAAAACAGAAAAAAAAAAGCCCUAGGAUUCACGUAUAGUUAGCUCUUUUCUAUAGAUAAAUCAUGUUAAAAUUGACAGCCAUUAACAAAUUGCAUGAUAAGAAUUGAGGCCAGAUUUGUCUCCUCAUGUUGGAACCCUCAUCACCUUUCCAAGCUUGCUAUGGAAAAUCAGCUCCACUUCUCUUCGGAGGCUUUCCGUAUCCAUUGCAAAAUCUCUAUGAUAUUCUUCUACCAACAGAUCUUGCAGUUGCAGCCUCAUUCUCUCCAAAGCAUCAUCCAAGCCACACAAGUCCUUGAAAACCAAAGCUUCAGUUGUUUUGAGUCGCAGGAGAUUCUUGAUUGCAACAAGGGCCUUUUCUUGGAGAUCAAGGUCUGUCGAUGCUGUUAGAUCGACUAUAGACUUUAGGAAGAAGUGAUUUCUGAAGAAAGGCAGCUCAGCUCUUCCUACAUUUUCUAGCUGACAUUCAGCCAGAUCAGCAACCAGAAAAACAGCUUUCUUCUGGAGUCUGAUAUCAAUGCUCAAGUUGCUCAGUAUGUCCUGAAGCAUCUUAUCUCCAGCUUCUGCAUAAAACAAUUCCUGACCACCUACAUUAUUUCGGAUCAAGGCUGAAACAGCAUAUAAUGCUUUUAUGGAUUCUUCUAUGGAAGUCGAUUUUACCAUCUUCAUUAGCUUAGUGAGUGCCCCAAGUUCCAAGACCUAAGAGCGUUGAAUAUCAUGAAUUAGCCCAGGACACAAAGCAAAUACAACAAGGAACAUGUAUUAUUGUUGAUAACAGAAAAGAAAAUGAAAACAUAAGGAAGAACUUUUCAACUGGAAACUAGCAAAAGUGCAUUCCAGAAGUUGACAAAGGAAUUAUGCCUGUUUCUGGACAAAUGCAUUAUUUUGACUUGCUUUCCCAAGAACCCAUGCAGAAACUCUCCUUAUAUCUGAAUCAGGGUGAUUAAGCUCUCGUAUUAAUACAUGAAGGCCACCGAGUUUUGUCAAAUCUUGCAUACACAAAAGCAGCAGUGUUAGCCCCUACUAUUGCAGCAAAAAAACAAAUUCAGAACUCAGACAAACACCCACCACAUAAAAAAAAAACAAUGAAAGGGGUAAAAUUCUGUGAUGUUGCAGUGUCACAGUUACAAUGGAUCUUUUACAUUUUCCACAAUGCAAAAAAUAUCGUCAUUCACAAUUUAGAAAUAGUUAAAAAGUAAUGGGAGAUUCAAUAUCAUGCUUACUGGGUUGCCUUCAUUACUAUGAUAUGAUAUAAUGGUAAUAAGGGAUCAAGUGACAAGAAUAAUAUGAAAAUAAUCUUACUCACACGAAUACUUCUUUUUGUUGGGGGUUGGGUAAAAUGUUGCGGGGCUUGGGGAACCCAGUAUUCUCACUUUCCUGAUGUUUCCUAAUUUGCUGAAGACAUAGCAUCUAAGUAAAUAACCCAUGUUCCAUGUAUGCCACCACAUCACAAAUCUCAAAGAACUCACAAACUCAAAGGAAUAUGAUCUAAAACUAUGCCAAAAGUCCUGCUACUGUGAUACUCCAACUAAAGAGAUUACGAAUGACAAUAACAUGACUAAGCCUCCACUAAACUGUACCAUAUACUAAUGGGACAAAUUCAACAGCCAUGCGAUUUUUUAAUUUUAGUCAAAUGCAAGGAUGCAGAAAGAACGGGAGGUGAACAUAAAGAUUCUGCUGCACAGAGCAAAUCUUUGCCAAGGAAUUUGGAUAAAUGAUGUGAACUCCAUAUUAAGGGAGACAAGGUAACCCAAGAGUCCAAAGAGAAUUAUUAUCGGCAGCAGUGUCCUAGAUGCAGAAGCAUUAGCUGGCACCUUACAAUGUUUUUUAAAUUUAGCAAAAUAUGACUAAACAUCAGGGCUUCCAGUAAAACCCCAUGUAAAUUAAAUGUUAUAACCUAAAAGUCCUCCUAAAUACUCAAAGCUAUUAUAAAACUUCAGCGAUAGUCACCAUGAAAACAGCUUAUCCAGAAAUUUAUUCUAAUCUAAAAUAAAACACAAAGAAAAAGAAACAAAAAAGGGGGGGAAAAAAAACAACACUAUCUAAGUGUCUCUGGACAAACAUGUUAGAAAAUGCAAACUAUCCUAUUGCUUUACUCGUUCACAAGCAUACGAUUGGAGGAAUAAGCGAGUUAUGUACUGUUAGUGACUGCCCAUGAUUAUCAUGAACUAGGGGCUAACUGAUAAAAGGUGGCGAGGGGACAAGGUAGAUGUUGACCCCACAAGCUCAAAGG